UACGUAGGGUGCAAGCGUUGUCCGGAAUUAUUGGGCGUAAAGAGCUCGUAGGCGGUCUGUUGCGUCGGCUGUGAAAACCCGGGGCUCAACUCCGGGCCUGCAGCCGAUACGGGCAGACUAGAGUUCGGCAGGGGAGACUGGAAUUCCUGGUGUAGCGGUGAAAUGCGCAGAUAUCAGGAGGAACACCGAUGGCGAAGGCAGGUCUCUGGGCAUUAACUGACGCUGAGGAGCGAAAACAUGGGGAGCGAACAGG
rnacentral:rRNA from 1 species